GACGAACGCUGGCGGCGUGCUUAACACAUGCGAGUCGAACGGAAAGGCCCUGCUUUUGUGGGGUGCUCGAGUGGCGAACGGGUGAGUAACACGUGAGUAACCUGCCCUUGACUUUGGGAUAACUUCAGGAAACUGGGGCUAAUACCGGAUAGGAGCUCCUGCUGCAUGGUGGGGGUUGGAAAGUUUCGGCGGUUGGGGAUGGACUCGCGGCUUAUCAGCUUGUUGGUGGGGUAGUGGCUUACCAAGGCUUUGACGGGUAGCCGGCCUGAGAGGGUGACCGGCCCCAUUGGGACUGGGAUACGGCCCAGACCCCUACGGGAGGCAGCAGUGGGGAAUAUUGCACAAUGGGCGGAAGCCUGAUGCAGCAACGCCGCGUGCGGGAUGACGGCCUUCGGGUUGUAAACCGCUUUCGCCUGUGACGAAGCGUGAGUGACGGUAAUGGGUAAAGAAGCACCGGCUAACUACGUG
rnacentral:rRNA from 1 species